GAUGAACGCUGGCGGCGUGCCUAAUACAUGCAAGUCGAGCGAACAGACGAGGAGCUUGCUCCUCUGACGUUAGCGGCGGACGGGUGAGUCACACGUGGAUAACCUACCUAUAAGACUGGGAUAACUUCGGGAAACCGGUGCUAAUACCGGAUAAUAUAUUGAACCGCAUGGUUCAAUAGUGAAAGACGGUUUUGCUGUCACUUAUAGAUGGAUCCGCGCCGCAUUAGCUAGUUGGUAAGGUAACGGCUUACCAAGGCGACGAUGCGUAGCCGACCUGAGAGGGUGAUCCGCCACACUGGAACUGAGACACGGUCCAGACUCCUACGGGAGGCAGCAGUAGGGAAUCUUCCGCAAUGGGCGAAAGCCUGACGGAGCAACGCCGCGUGAGUGAUGAAGGUCUUCGGAUCGUAAAACUCUGUUAUUAGGGAAGAACAAAUGUGUAAGUAACUAUGCACGUCUUGACGGUACCUAAUCAGAAAGCCACGGCUAACUACGUG
rnacentral:rRNA from 1 species